rnacentral:rRNA from 1 species
UACAGAGGGUGCGAGCGUUAAUCGGAAUUACUGGGCGUAAAGCGCGCGUAGGCGGCUUUGCAAGUCGGGUGUGAAAUCCCCAGGCUUAACCUGGGAACUGCAUUCGAGACUGCAUUGCUAGAGUAUGGGAGAGGGAAGUGGAAUUUCAGGUGUAGCGGUGAAAUGCGUAGAUAUCAGCAGGAACACCCCGUGGCGAAGGCGG